GUUACAGUGGCCGAGUGGUUAAGGCGACACCCUGCUAAGGUGUUGGGCAUUGCCUGCGCAGGUUCGAAUCCUGUCUGUGACG
rnacentral:tRNA from 2 species